CUAUGCGCCUUGCCAGCCCGCUCAGUCAGAGUUUGAUCCUGGCUCAGAUUGAACGCUAGCGGGAUGCUUUACACAUGCAAGUCGAACGGCAGCACGAAGAGCUUGCUCUUUGGUGGCGAGUGGCGAACGGGUGAGUAAUGUAUCGGAACGUGCCCAGUAGCGGGGGAUAACUGGCCGAAAGGUCAGCUAAUACCGCAUACGUCCUACGGGAGAAAGAGGGGGAUCGCAAGACCUCUCACUAUUGGAGCGGCCGAUAUCAGAUUAGCUAGUUGGUGAGGUAAAGGCUCACCAAGGCAGCGAUCUGUAGCUGGUUUGAGAGGACGACCAGCCACACUGGGACUGAGACACGGCCCAG
rnacentral:rRNA from 1 species